GAUGAAGAACGCAGCGAAAUGUGAUACGUAAUGUGAAUUGCAGAUUUCAGUGAAUCAUCGAAUCUUUGAACGCACAUUGCGCCCGCCAGUAUUCUGGCGGGCAUGCCUGUUCGAGCGUCAUUUCAACCAUCAAGCCUUCGCUUGUGUUGGGGCCCCGCGGCUGCCGCGGUCCCCUAAAUCCAGUGGCGGGCUCGUCGUCGUACCGAGCGCAGUAGACAUCCUCGCUCCGGGAACCCGACGGGUGCCGGCCGUGAAACCCCCCACAUCAAGGUUGACCUCGGAUCAGGUAGGAAUACCCGCUGAACUUAAGCAUAUCAAUAAGCGGAGGA
rnacentral:misc_RNA from 1 species